UGGGGAAUAUUGGACAAUGGGCGCAAGCCUGAUCCAGCCAUGCCGCGUGUGUGAAGAAGGCCUUCGGGUUGUAAAGCACUUUUGUUGGGAAAGAAAAGCGGUCGGUUAAUACCCGGUCGUUCUGACGGUACCCAAAGAAUAAGCACCGGCUAACUUCGUGCCAGCAGCCGCGGUAAUACGAAGGGUGCAAGCGUUACUCGGAAUUACUGGGCGUAAAGCGUGCGUAGGUGGUUUGUUAAGUCAGAUGUGAAAGCCCCGGGCUCAACCUGGGAAUUGCAUUUGAUACUGGCAGACUAGAGUGCGGUAGAGGAGAGUGGAAUUCCCGGUGUAGCAGUGAAAUGCGUAGAGAUCGGGAGGAACAUCAGUUGCGAAGGCGGCUCUCUGGACCAGCACUGACACUGAGGCACGAAAGCGUGGGGAGCAAACAGG
rnacentral:rRNA from 1 species